GAUGAGCGCUGGCGGCGUGCCUAAUACAUGCCAGUCGAGCGAACAGACGAGGAGCUUGCUCCUCUGACGUUAGCGGCGGACGGGUGAGUAACACGUGGAUAACCUACCUAUAAGACUGGGAUAACUUCGGGAAACCGGAGCUAAUACCGGAUAAUAUAUUGAACCGCAUGGUUCAAUAGUGAAAGACGGUUUUGCUGUCACUUAUAGAUGGAUCCGCGCCGCAUUAGCUAGUUGGUAAGGUAACGGCUUACCAAGGCAACGAUGCGUAGCCGACCUGAGAGGGUGAUCGGCCACACUGGAACUGAGACACGGUCCAGACUCCUACGGGAGGCAGCAGUAGGGAAUCUUCCGCAAUGGGCGAAAGCCUGACGGAGCAACGCCGCGUGAGUGAUGAAGGUCUUCGGAUCGUAAAACUCUGUUAUUAGGGAAGAACAAAUGUGUAAGUAACUAUGCACGUCUUGACGGUACCUAAUCAGAAAGCCACGGCUAACUACGUG
rnacentral:rRNA from 1 species